rnacentral:rRNA from 1 species
UACGAAGGGGGCUAGCGUUGCUCGGAAUCACUGGGCGUAAAGGGUGCGUAGGCGGGUUUUUAAGUCAGAGGUGAAAUCCUGGAGCUCAACUCCAGAACUGCCUUUGAUACUGAGAAUCUUGAGUACGGGAGAGGUGAGUGGAACUGCGAGUGUAGAGGUGAAAUUCGUAGAUAUUCGCAAGAACACCAGUGGCGAAGGCGGCUCACUGGCCCGUUACUGACGCUGAGGCACGAAAGCGUGGGGAGCAAACAGG